AGUCCAAGAUCAAAUUGCCUACUGGAAACUCGUGGGCACCCCGGCAAGAAGGUUCAGCUCUCGGAGUCCAAGAUCUCGCAGCUCUACUUGAUUUCCAGAGAUAUUUUCUUGCAACGGCCAAAUUUAUGGGAUCUCCAAUCUUUCAUUUAGAUUUGUGGUACUAUAACUUCUUGCAAUCCCUGACUCUACCACUUUCUUUCUUAAUAACAAGUGAAUAUGUAAACUUUUGUGCAUCCCUUACUCUACUGCUUUCUUUCUUGCAAUCCCUUUUGUUUCGGUCUUCUUCCUUUCUUUUUGAAGUCGGCGUUUGAUUGAUUUGUUAUUGCGUUUAUUUUUUAUUUUAAUUUUUUCUAAUAGUAGUUUUAUAUUCUUUUAAUUUGAGUGACAUUACUAUUAUAUAUUUUAAUAUGUUUUUUAACCAUAUUUUAAAAUCUUGAUUUUCAUUUCAUAUCACUUCUCUAGAAUCUUAUUUUUCCAAUACAUUAUUGACUAAGAUUUGGUAACUUUUACUGUUUAUGAUACACGAUUUGGUAUCUCCUUUUUGAGUUUUGAUAAUGGAAUUUGGUAAAUAUUUUGAUUUUAACCGUUUAUGUGAUCUCUUUAGAUCUUUAUCAUUAUCAUAACUUCAGAAAAAAGAAAAUAAUAUCACUACAGAAGCAAGGAGGUGAAGAAACCAUGAUGGCAAUCCUAAAUGUAAUAAUUGAAAGAAAAAGGAGGAAUUGGAGAAAGAAAGUGGUGGUUCAGGUUCGCAUUCCUCCUUGUAAAGCCUUCUUUGGCAUCAUGGUUCUGCUAUGGUGCUUGGUUCAGUUGUGCCUCAAAUAAGGUAGCAUAGGUUCCAUUAACAUUGUCAUAACCAUUCUCACAUUAGUUUAUUUUUUAUUUUUUAGUUAUUAGUUUAGUGACUUCAUUGCCAUACUCUAUUGUGGCAUAUUUUUUGGGGUGCAUUAAAACAUGCGAAUGGAAUUGAAGGCGGAUCAACAAUUGUUGUUAGAGUAAUAGCAUGCUUUCAACCCUUGCACAAUUGUCAGCCAAUGACAGCUUUGGGUGAACAAGUGUGUCAAUCUGUGGAGAUAAUGUUGGAAAGAUUAUGCGCGGCUAACCAUUUAAUGUAUGCAGUUUAUAUGCCUUCCAUAUGUGCAAGCCUCUCAAUGAGUAUGACAGCAAGAAUGGGAACCAGUACUGCCCCCAGGCCAUUCACUGUAUACACUAUUCUUCAUUCAUAUGUUGCAACUGUGCUAAAGAUUUUUAGCAUUAUAAGAUGUUUUAAAUAUUUAAUAAAUUACUUCUAAAAAAUAGAUUCAUUGUGUUUUAAAUGGUUAUGCUGUUUUAUUUUUUAGUCUCUCUUUAUGUUAUAUGAGAUAUUCCAACUGUAUAAUUAAUUGAGAAUCCAC